CCUACGGGAGGCAGCAGUGGGGAAUAUUGCACAAUGGGCGGAAGCCUGAUGCAGCGACGCCGCGUGAGGGAUGAAGGCCUUCGGGUUGUAAACCUCUUUCAGCAGGGACGAAGCGUGAGUGACGGUACCUGCAGAAGAAGCACCGGCUAACUACGUGCCAGCAGCCGCGGUAAUACGUAGGGUGCGAGCGUUGUCCGGAAUUACUGGGCGUAAAGAGUUCGUAGGCGGUUUGUCGCGUCGUUUGUGAAAACCCGGGGCUCAACUUCGGGCUUGCAGGCGAUACGGGCAGACUUGAGUGUUUCAGGGGAGACUGGAAUUCCUGGUGUAGCGGUGAAAUGCGCAGAUAUCAGGAGGAACACCGGUGGCGAAGGCGGGUCUCUGGGAACAACUGACGCUGAGGAACGAAAGCGUGGGUAGCAAACAGGAUUAGAUACCCUGGUAGUCCACGCCGUAAACGGUGGCGCUAGGUGUGGGUUCCUUCCACGGAAUCUGUGCCGUAGCUAACGCAUUAAGCGCCCGCCUGGGGAUCGGCCGCAGGCUAAACGUAAAUGAAUUGACGGCUGAGAGUUGCGAGCGACGACGAGGAGAGG
rnacentral:rRNA from 1 species